ACACACAUUGCGGUCCCCACCCCCCCCUCCCCUUUUCGCCGUCGCCCUUUUAAGACCCGUCCACACGCCUCCGUCCGCCAUUUUGCCUCCCAAGAUGGCGGCGCCCGAUCUGGAGCGGCUCCUGGCCGCGUUGCUGGAGCCCGACAGCGCCGUUCUCCGGCAGGCCACCACCCGCCUCCGCGAGGCCUUCGCCGACCCCCAAACCCCCGCGCGCCUGGGCCUGCUCCUCAGCGCCGCGCCGCAACCACAGAUCAGGCAAUUGGCCGCGGUGCUGCUGCGGCGGCGGCUCCUGGGGAAGUGGCGGGGGCUGGACUCGAACCUGCGGCUCCGGUGGGUGCCCGGGGGGCGGGGCUUGGGGAGGAGGAGAGGGCGUGGUUUGUGGACCAGAGGGCGUGGUUUGGUGAGAAGAAGGUGGGGUUUGGGGAGGAGGGGGCGUGGCUAAGUCAGGCCCCGCCCCCUCCAGGCUGCCGGCGCUGGUGGCCGAGGCGCUGGAGCGAGAGACGGAGUGAGUUUUUGGGGGGAAAUCGGGGGAAAACGGGGGUUUUUGGGGUGGGGGGACAAACCGGUUCAACCCAGUUCGUCCCAGUAAACCCCAGUCCCCCCCCCAGUCCCUCCCAGUGCUCCCAGUAACCCCAGUAACCCCCCCAGUCCCUCC
rnacentral:lncRNA from 1 species